rnacentral:rRNA from 1 species
CUUCGGUACAUCGGUGACAGUGGUGCAUGGUUGUCGUCAGCUCGUGUCGUGAGAUGUGGGUUAAGUCCCGCAACGAGCGCAACCCCUAUUGUUAGUUGCCAUCAUUCAGUUGGGCACUCUAGCGAGACUGCCGGUAAUAAACCGGAGGAAGGUGGGGAUGACGUCAAAUCAUCAUGCCCCUUAUGACCUGGGCUACACACGUGCUACAAUGGUUGGUACAACGAGUUGCGAGUCGGUGACGGCGAGCUAAUCUCUUAAAGCCAAUCUCAGUUCGGAUUGUAGGCUGCAACUCGCCUACAUGAAGUCGGAAUCGCUAGUAAUCGCGGAUCAGCAUGCCGCGGUGAAUACGCUCCCGGGCCUU